GCUUCCGUCGAAGCAUACUGCUCUCUUUUUUGGGAGUGGUGAGCGACGGCUUGAGGCUGAACGAAGGUUGGCUCAGUACUCGUAUGACUCUCGGGUUGUGCGGUGGAACAGCUUGCCGAUGUCUUUUUCAAACCCAUUUUACUAAACACUGAUCUAUACUCCGAGGAC
rnacentral:rRNA from 1 species